rnacentral:rRNA from 10 species
UGACCUCGGAUCAGGUAGGGAUACCCGCUGAACUUAAGCAUAUCAAUAAGC